GGCCGCAGUAUUUUAACUGUGCAAAGGUAGCAUAAUCAUUAGUUUUUUAAUUGGAAGCUAGUAUGAAUGGUUGGACGAGAUAUUAACUGUUUCAUAAUAAAUUUUAAUAAAAUUUUAUUUUUUAGUAAAAAAGCUAAAAUUAAUUUAAAAGACGAGAAGACCCUAUAAAUCUUUAUAUUUUUGUAUAUUUUAAAUUAUUUAGUAAUAUAAAUUUUAUUAUAAAUGAUAAUAUUUUAUUGGGGUGAUAUUAAAAUUUAAUUAACUUUUAUUAUUAUUUAAACAUUGAUUUAUGAAUAAUUGAUCCAUUAUUAAUGAUUAUUAAAUUAAGUUACUUUAGGGAUAACAGCGUAAUUUUUUUGGAGAGUUCAUAUUGAUAAAAUAGAUUGCGACCUCGAUGUUGGAUU
rnacentral:rRNA from 1 species